GAAUGCUGACAUAAGUAACGAUAAAGCGGGUGAAAAGCCCGCUCGCCGGAAGACCAAGGGUUCCUGUCCAACGUUAAUCGGGGCAGGGUGAGUCGACCCCUAAGGCGAGGCCGAAAGGCGUAGUCGAUGGGAAACAGGUUAAUAUUCCUGUACUUGGUGUUACUGCGAAGGGGGGACGGAGAAGGCUAUGUUGGCCGGGCGACGGUUGUCCCGGUUUAAGCGUGUAGGCUGGUUUUCCAGGCAAAUCCGGAAAAUCAAGGCUGAGGCGUGAUGACGAGGCACUACGGUGCUGAAGCGACAAAUGCCCUGCUUCCAGGAAAAGCCUCUAAGCAUCAGGUAACAUCAAAUCGUACCCCAAACCGACACAGGUGGUCAGGUAGAGAAUACCAAGGCGCUUGAGAGAACUCGGGUGAAGGAACUAGGCAAAAUGGUGCCGUAACUUCGGGAGAAGGCACGCUGAUAUGUAGGUGAAGCGACUUGCUCGUGGAGCUGAAAUCAGUCGAAGAUACCAGCUGGCUGCAACUGUUUAUUAAAAACACAGCACUGUGCAAACACGAAAGUGGACGUAUACGGUGUGACGCCUGCCCGGUGCCGGAAGGUUAAUUGAUGGGGUUAGCGGUAACGCGAAGCUCUUGAUCGAAGCCCCGGUAAACGGCGGCCGUAACUAUAACGGUCCUAAGGUAGCGAAAUUCCUUGUCGGGUAAGUUCCGACCUGCACGAAUGGCGUAAUGAUGGCCAGGCUGUCUCCACCCGAGACUCAGUGAAAUUGAACUCGCUGUGAAGAUGCAGUGUACCCGCGGCAAGACGGAAAGACCCCGUGAACCUUUACUAUAGCUUGACACUGAACAUUGAGCCUUGAUGUGUAGGAUAGGUGGGAGGCUUUGAAGUGUGGACGCCAGUCUGCAUGGAGCCGACCUUGAAAUACCACCCUUUAAUGUUUGAUGUUCUAACGUGGGCCCCUUACCGGGGUUGCGGACAGUGUCUGGUGGGUAGUUUGACUGGGGCGGUCUCCUCCUAAAGAGUAACGGAGGAGCACGAAGGUUGGCUAAUCCUGGUCGGACAUCAGGAGGUUAGUGCAAUGGCAUAAGCCAGCUUGACUGCGAGCGUGACGGCGCGAGCAGGUGCGAAAGCAGGUCAUAGUGAUCCGGUGGUUCUGAAUGGAAGGGCCAUCGCUCAACGGAUAAAAGGUACUCCGGGGAUAACAGGCUGAUACCGCCCAAGAGUUCAUAUCGACGGCGGUGUUUGGCACCUCGAUGUCGGCUCAUCACAUCCUGGGGCUGAAGUAGGUCCCAAGGGUAUGGCUGUUCGCCAUUUAAAGUGGUACGCGAGCUGGGUUUAGAACGUCGUGAGACAGUUCGGUCCCUAUCUGCCGUGGGCGCUGGAGAACUGAGGGGGGCUGCUCCUAGUACGAGAGGACCGGAGUGGACGCAUCACUGGUGUUCGGGUUGUCAUGCCAAUGGCACUGCCCGGUAGCUAAAUGCGGAAGAGAUAAGUGCUGAAAGCAUCUAAGCACGAAACUUGCCCCGAGAUGAGUUCUCCCUGACUCCUUGAGAGUCCUGAAGGAACGUUGAAGACGACGACGUUGAUAGGCCGGGUGUGUAAGCGCAGCGAUGCGUUGAG
rnacentral:rRNA from 1 species